AGUGAACGCUGGCGGUAGGCCUAACACAUGCAAGUCGAACGGCAGCACAGUAAGAGCUUGCUCUUACGGGUGGCGAGUGCGGACGGGUGAGGAAUACAUCGGAAUCUACUUUUUCGUGGGGGAUAACGUAGGGAAACUUACGCUAAUACCGCAUACGACCUACGGGUGAAAGCAGGGGAUCUUCGGACCUUGCGCGAUUGAAUGAGCCGAUGUCUGAUUAGCUAGUUGGCGGGGUAAAGGCCCACCAAGGCGACGAUCCGUAGCUGGUCUGAGAGGAUGAUCAGCCACACUGGAACUGAGACACGGUCCAGACUCCUACGGGAGGCAGCAGUGGGGAAUAUUGGACAAUGGGCGCAAGCCUGAUCCAGCCAUACCGCGUGGGUGAAGAAGGCCUUCGGGUUGUAAAGCCCUUUUGUUGGGAAAGAAAAGCAGCAGGUUAAUACCCCGCUGUUCUGACGGUACCCAAAGAAUAAGCACCGGCUAACUUCGUG
rnacentral:rRNA from 1 species